rnacentral:lncRNA from 1 species
CUAUCACAUAAAAUUAAAGUUAUAGAUCAAGACUAAGUGUUGCGAUAGGAAUUAGAUUAUGAUCAAGUGUCACAAGGAGAUUAAAAUUAUGGAAAGAGAAAAUAUACAUUCAGACAAUAGGGAGACAAUGUACCAAGAAAUAUGUGGAUUUUUCCAGGAAAAAGUCAAAUAAUGUCAAAUUCUGACCUGAGAAAAAAUUCUUUGAUAGCUAGUAGAGGAGAAACUGCUUCAGAGGGAAGAAAAUUGGAUUGCAACCCAAAAGAAGCAAGAGGCAGGCAAGUCACAACCGUGAGAGAAGCAGGAGGCAGUGGAGUCAGAUUUGACAAAUGGGAAAAGUCACCUCUGGAUUUAAAAUUGAGUCCCAACCGCUGAAGGAGCAAAUCCCUUCCACACUUGAGUCAAGCUUUAUAUACAAUAGCAAGAGAGAGACAAGUACGGAAAGGAAGAAACAAAAAGGAACUCUGAAUCAUUUGUUAAGAAAAAGGACUAAAUUGAAAUAGGACGAAAAGGAAAAGAGAAGUUUUGU